rnacentral:rRNA from 1 species
CCUACGGGUGACAGCAGUGGGGGAUAUUGCACAAUGGGGGAAACCCUGAUGCAGCGACGCCGCGUGUGGGAAGACGGUCCUCUGGAUUGUAAACCACUGUCCUCAGGGACGAAGAUGAUGGUAGUUGGGGAGGAAGCUUCGGCAAACUACGUGCAGGCAGCCGCGGAAAUAUGAAGGGAGAGAGCGUUGUCCGGAAUUACGGGGGGAAAGGGGAGCGUAGGCGGGGAUGCAAGUUGGGUGUCAAAACUACGGUCUAAACGGGUGAGCGCACUUGAAACUGGAGCUCUUGAGUGAAGUAGAGGAGGGCGGAAUUCCUUGUGUAGCGGUGAAAUGCGUAGAUAUUAGGAAGAACACCAGUGGCGAAGGCGGCCUGCUGGGCUUUUACUGACGCUGAGGCUCGAAAGUGUGGGGAGCAAACAGGAUUAGAUACCCUUGUAGUC